GCUGGGGUAGUCUAACUAGACAUUUGAUUUCGACUCAUAAGAACUUAACCCAUUAAGCCCCAACA
rnacentral:tRNA from 1 species